UACAGAGGGGGGCAAGCGUUGUUCGGAAUUACUGGGCGUAAAGAGCGUGUAGGCGGCCAGGUAGGUCCGGUGUGAAAACUCGAGGCUUAACCUCGAGAUGUCAUCGGAAACCAUCUGGCUAGAGUCCGGAAGAGGAAAGUGGAAUUCCUGGUGUAGCGGUGAAAUGCGCAGAUAUCAGGAAGAACACCAAUGGCGAAAGCAGCUUUCUGGGACGGUACUGACGCUGAGACGCGAAAGCGUGGGGAGCGAACAGG
rnacentral:rRNA from 1 species